rnacentral:rRNA from 1 species
GACGAACGCUGGCGGCGUGCUUAACACAUGCAAGUCGAGCGGAAAGGCCCUUUCGGGGGUACUCGAGCGGCGAACGGGUGAGUAACACGUGAGUAAUCUGCCCUUCACUUGGGGAUAACCUCCGGAAACGGUGGCUAAUACCCGAUACGACCAUUCCUCGCAUGAGGUGGGGGUGGAAAGUUUUUCGGUGGGGGAUGUGCUCGCGGCCUAUCAGCUUGUUGGUGGGGUAAUGGCCUACCAAGGCUUCGACGGGUAGCCGGCCUGAGAGGGUGACCGGCCACACUGGGACUGAGACACGCCCCAGCCUCCUACGGGAGGCAGCAGUGGGGAAUAUUGGACAAUGGGCGGAAGCCUGAUCCAGCAACGCCGCGUGAGGGAUGACGGCCUUCGGGUUGUAAACCUCUUUCACCUGUGACGAAGCGAAAGUGACGGUAGCAGGAGAAGAAGCACCGGCCAACUACGUG